rnacentral:rRNA from 1 species
CCUACGGGUGGCUGCAGUGAGGAAUAUUGGUCAAUGGACGAGAGUCUGAACCAGCCAAGUAGCGUGAAGGAUGACUGCCCUAUGGGUUGUAAACUUCUUUUAUAUGGGAAUAAAACGUUCCACGUGUGGGAUUUUGUAUGUACCAUAUGAAUAAGGAUCGGCUAACUCCGUGCCAGCAGCCGCGGUAAUACGGAGGAUCCGAGCGUUAACCGGAUUUAUUGGGGUUAAAGGGAGCGUAGGUGGAUUGUUAAGUCAGGUGUGAAAGUUUGCGGCUCAACCGUAAAAUUGCAGUUGAAACUGGCAGUCUUGAGUACAGUAGAGGUGGGCGGAAGUCGUGGUGUAGCGGUGAAAUGCUUAGAUAUCACGAAGAACUCCGAUUGCGAAGGCAGUUCACUGGACUGCAACUGACACUGAGGCUCGAAAGUGUGGGUAUCAAACAGGAUUAGAUACCCCUGUAGUC